rnacentral:rRNA from 1 species
GACCUCGGAUCAGGCAGGGAUACCCGCUGAACUU